UGCGGGAGGUGGGGGAGAGGAGCUCGUUUUCACCUAGGGAAGACGAAUGACAGCCAUAGAAGAAGAGGCAUCAUCCUGUCUCUAAAUGGCAGGAGGACUUUGUAUAAGCCUUCCAGACAAUGGAAGCCAUGUGGGCGAAGACUCAGGAACCACGUACCAUCCAAAGGCCCGGGGAAGAAAUUACAGGGUCUCACUAUGUAGCCCUGUCCAUCCUGGAACUUGCUACAUAAACAUAAAAGACUGGCUUCAAACUCACAGAGAUUCACCUGACUGCCUCCAAACUGCUGGGAUUAGAGGCGUGUCCCCCAACAUGCCUGCUGAUAAAUUCGUCAGAAAGUAUAUCCUAAAGUGAACCAUUCAUCUCACCUGCUAUGCAAGACUUCAACUGUGAUGGUGACACAGAUGGAAAAUGGACUGGAGCUUUACUGACAGUCAGUGGUUCUAGGUCAGCCUCGGUAUGCAGGAUUCACAAAGUGAAGUUGGAGAAGGAGAACUGAAGUCUAAGAACUUGCAGGUGAACAGGGAAAAUUACAUUUGAAAGGAAGCGAAACCACACAAGCCCUAGAUGCACCAUUGGUAAAUUCCUCAACUUCCAAAGAAGGAUUUCACUGUGUGGACUCUUGUGGAUGGAACAGAG
rnacentral:lncRNA from 1 species